rnacentral:rRNA from 1 species
AGCAGCCGCGGUAAUUCCAGCUCCAAUAGCGUAUAUUAAAGUUGUUGCAGUUAAAAAGCUCGUAGUUGAAUUUCGGGGUCAGUAGGUUGGUCGUGCCAAUGGUAUGUACUGGCUUCACUGAUUCCUCCUUCUUGAAGAACUGUAAUGUCAUUAAUUUGGUGUUGCAGGGAAACAGGACUGUUACUUUGAAAAAAUUAGAGUGUUUAAAGCAGGCUAACGCUUGAAUACAUUAGCAUGGAAUAAUGAAAUAGGACGUUUGACCCUAUUUUGUUGGUUUCUAGGAUCGACGUAAUGAUUAAUAGGGAUAGUUGGGGGCAUUAGUAUUCAAUUGUCAGAGGUGAAAUUCUUGGAUUUAUUGAAGACUGACUACUGCGAAAGCAUUUGCCAAGGAUGUUUUCAUUAAUCAAGAACGAAAGUUAGGGGAUCGAAGACGAUCAGAUACCGUCGUAGUCUUAACCAUAAACUAUGCCGACUAGGGAUCGGAUGAUGUUAAUUUUUUAAUGACUCAUUCGGCGCCUUACG